rnacentral:rRNA from 1 species
AUGGCCGGCGAUUACAUAAGACCAAUUGAUCCAACUUUCUCUGAACAACCACACCCAGUACUUAGAGAAACAAAGUUUUGGCCUCAUUUUCAACAUGCUAUUGGAGCCGUUGAUGGAACACACAUUAAGGUGAUUGUGCCUAAGGAGUUGGAGCCCCAACACGGAAUAGGAAAGGUUACACAAGUGAAAAUGUUAUGGCAGUGUGUGAUUUUGAUAUGA